UUCCGUAAUGAAACAAUGGCACGCGUUAGUGUUCUAUUAAUAAAGUGCCUCGUGACAUGUUUGUUGAGGGCGCUACAUGCUCACAACAGCGUGGUGUAGCGUGUCCACGACAGGGCUUGGGUGUGCAUUGGUAGCAAGGCUGCAGGGUGUUUGUUGUGGCUUAGGUCUGCCUUAGUGUGUCUCGGCUUCUCCUCACUGAGCGGUGGCGCAGAUGCAAGCCAAGGUGUCACGAGCCGCGGUGUUGACGAUCCAAAGACCUGACUCGAAGCGAAAAUGCGUCCCCUCUACUAUCAAGGAGAGACUCUACUUUGCACUACGCCUUCAUUGACAACGCCCACUAUCAACACCUCUGCCUCGCUACCGACCAACAUCAGGGAAGGACUGUCUUGCAUCGCGCCCACACACACUACGUACUCUUAACGUCGCCGCUGAGUGGUGAUAGCGAGUCAGGUGUGGUGAGGAGGCGGAUUGGUGACGAGAACCAGUAGAUGACGGCAGGGAAGAUUUCACGAACCAGGAAGAUGAAUAUGUGGCAAGAUUGGUUGUGUGGAUGUGCGAGGAUCGGGUGUGGGGGUGAGGGUUUGAGGGAGUGUGACGUGGUGUGGCUUACCCAGACUGGCGUGGGAGAUGUGAGAAUGAAGGGAUGCUUGUGUUAUGACAUUAAAGGGCCGGGAUGCUAUAGAUAUACGUAAAGACGGGAGAACCUGAGAGAAGGAAGAAGAAUGUAACUGAGUGAAAUGGUGAUCCAAGGCCUGAGUGCAGCGAUCCCGUGACUCCUGCACCAUCAGGGAGGGACUCAGGCUUCGCAUGGCCUUCACUGACACCCAACACCACCACCGCCGCCGCUGAGGGACUGCCUCGCGGCGCACCCCAGCGGCCCGGCAAACGCCUACCACCACCACUUCAACCGCCGCCGCCGUCGUCCAGCGAGAGAUUCUGCUUCGCAUCGCACAUUCUGCCCCUCAACACCUGCCGCCGCCGUCCCCGCCCGCCACCACCAGCAAGCAUUCUGCACGGCACCUUGAUCCUGCGCGGCCAUCACCUACUGGUGGUGCUGGUGGCCGUGGAGGGGGAGUUGUGGGUCGACUUGGCAGUCAGUCGUCCCUCACUCAUUGUGGGUGGUGUAUGUACUUGGACAGAUGUGGUGUGUUGUGGUGCCAUUACUCCAUUGUAAUAAACUGUCUUCACUGCCUCAUUGUGUUGUCACUGUACUAUGAACUGUUUUGUCACUACUGAAUAAUAAAUUGUGAAGAAAU